rnacentral:rRNA from 1 species
CGCCGAUUAAAGUGGUACGUGAGCUGGGUUUAGAACGUCGUGAGACAGUUCGGUCCCUAUCUGCCGUGGGUGUAGGAGACUUGAGAGGAGUUGCCCCUAGUACGAGAGGACCGGGGUGAACGAUCCACUGGUGGACCAGUUGUCGUGCCAACGGCAGUGCUGGGUAGCUAUGAUCGGACAGGAUAACCGCUGAAGGCAUCUAAGCGGGAAGCCCCCCUCGAAACAAGGUAUCCCUUGAGAGCCGUGGAAGACGACCACGUCGAUAGGCUGGGUGUGGAAGCAUGGCAACAUGUGUAGCUGA